rnacentral:rRNA from 1 species
GACGAACGCUGGCGGCGUGCUUAACACAUGCAAGUCGAGCGGUAAGGCCCUUCGGGGUACGACGAGCGGCGAACGGGUGAGUAACACGUGGGUGACCUGCCUCUAGCUCUGGGAUAAGCCUGGGAAACUGGGUCUAAUACCGGAUAUGACUCCACGGCGCAUGUUGUGGGGUGGAAAGCCUUGUGCGGCUGAGGAUGGGCCCGCGGCCUAUCAGCUUGUUGGUGGGGGAUGGCCUACCAAGGCGACGACGGGUAGCCGGCCUGAGAGGGCGACCGGCCACACUGGGACUGAGAUACGGCCCAGACUCCUACGGGAGGCAGCAGUGGGGGAUUUUGCACAAUGGACGAAAGUCUGAUGCAGUGACGCCGCGUGGGGAUGACGGCCU